CGCGGCCUAUCAGCUUGUUGGUGAGGUAAUGGCUCACCAAGGCGUCGACGGGUAGCCGGCCUGAGAGGGUGACCGGCCACACUGGGACUGAGACACGGCCCAGACUCCUACGGGAGGCAGCAGUGGGGAAUAUUGCACAAUGGGCGAAAGCCUGAUGCAGCAACGCCGCGUGAGGGAUGACGGCCUUCGGGUUGUAAACCUCUUUUAGCAGGGAAGAAGCGAAAGUGACGGUACCUGCAGAAAAAGCGCCGGCUAACUACGUGCCAGCAGCCGCGGUAAUACGUAGGGCGCAAGCGUUAUCCGGAAUUAUUGGGCGUAAAGAGCUCGUAGGCGGUUUGUCGCGUCUGCUGUGAAAUCCCGAGGCUCAACCUCGGGCCUGCAGUGGGUACGGGCAGACUAGAGUGCGGUAGGGGAGAUUGGAAUUCCUGGUGUAGCGGUGGAAUGCGCAGAUAUCAGGGGGAACACCGAUGGCGAAGGCAGAUCUCUGGGCCGUAACUGACGCUGAGGAGCGAAAGGGUGGGGAGCAAACAGGCUUAGAUACCCUGGUAGUCCACCCCGUAAACGUUGGGAACUAGUUGUGGGGACCAUUCCACGGUUUCCGUGACGCAGCUAACGCAUUAAGUUCCCCGCCUGGGGAGUACGG
rnacentral:rRNA from 1 species